GCAGCCGGUAUGUGGGCUUCGUGCGCAGCACAUUGUGUCACGAUCCAGUCUACCUCCUUCCAUUAAGCCUCUUUUUUACUUUGACCUCGGAUCAGGUAGGGAUACCCGCUGAACUUAAGCAUAUCAAUAAGCGGAGGAAAAGAAACCAACAGGGAUUGCCCCAGUAACGGCGAGUGAAGCGGCAAUAGCUCAAAUUUGAAAUCUGGCUCUUUCAGAGUCCGAGUUGUAAUUUGCAGAGGGCGCUUUGGUGUCGGCAGCGGCCUAAGUUCCUUGGAACAGGUCAUCAUAGAGGGUGAGAAUCCCGUAUGUGGCUGAUUGUCUUCACCGUGUAAAGCCCCUUCGAUGAGUCGAGUUGUUUGGGAAUGCAGCUCUAAAUGGGAGGUAAAUUUCUUCUAAAGCUAAAUAUUGGCCAGAGACCGAUAGCGCACAAGUAGAGUGAUCGAAAGAUGAAAAGCACUUUGGAAAGAGAGUCAAAAAGCACGUGAAAUUGUUGAAAGGGAAGCGCUUGCAGCCAGACGUGCCCGCAGUUGCUCAUCUCUGGUUUUCCAGGGUGCACUCUUCUGUGGGCAGGCCAGCAUCAGUUCAGGCGGCUGGAGAAAGACCUGUGUCAUGUAGCUGUCUUCGGGCAGUGUUAUAGGGCAGGUGGAAUGCAGCCAGCUUGAACUGAGGUCCGCGCAUCUGCUAGGAUGCUGGCGUAAUGGCUGUAAGCGGCCCGUCUUGAAACACGGACCA
rnacentral:rRNA from 1 species